CACAGCCCACUAUAACCCAUGGUAAUAUGUCUCUAUACCCAAAACACAGCCCACUAUAACCCAUGGUAAUAUGUCUCUAUACCCACCACACAGCCCACUAUCACCCAUGGUGAUAUGUCUCUAUACCCAACACACAGCCCACUGUAACCCAUGGUAUUAUGUCUCUAUACCUGACACACAGCCCACUAUAACCCAUGGUAAUAUGUCUCUAUACCUGACACACAGACCACUAUAACCCAUGGUAAUAUGACUCUAUACACAACACACAGCCCACUAUAACCCAUGGUAAUAUGUCUCUAUACCGAACACACAGCCCACUAUAACCCAUGGUAAUAUGUCUCUAUACCCAACACACAGCCCACUAUAACCGAUGGUAAUAUGUCUCUACACCUAACACACAGCCCACUAUAACCCAUGGUAAUAUGUCUCUAUACCUAACACACAGCCCACUAUAACCCAUGGUAAUAUGUCUUUAUACCCGACACACAGCCCACUAUAACCCAUGGUAAUAUGUCUCUAUAAUUAACACACAGCCCACUAUAACCCAUGGUAAUAUGUCUCUAUACCUAACACACAGCCCACUAUAACCCAUGGUAAUAUGUCUCUAUACCCAACACACAG
rnacentral:lncRNA from 1 species